CCUCAUUCAAGCCCUCUCUCUUUCCCCCUCUGUAACAGCAAAGCACUUCUCCACGUCUAACCGUCGUUGGUGCGCCCUCUCUGUAACCCAGCGAAGCACUUCUCCACUUCUGCCAUUCAUUUAUUGUUGUUCUAGUAAUAUGGACCAUGUGGAAGCAAGUGGCAGUACGUGUGGUGCCUACAGGCUUUUUGUUGGAUUUCACUAGUUAGCUAACUAGCUUGUGCCAAGGUGUGUGAGUUUUCUGGCAGCUGGAGGGUCGUGAAAGCAAGGAGGUUAUGGGAUUAUGUGACAAUGGACGGGCUUACAUGUUACAUGCUUACGGAAGGCUAGGAAAAUAACAUCAUAUUAAAGUCAUUAUGACUUGUUUCCUCACUAUUAAUUCCUUGGAGCUCCCCUACUGCAUUAUGACUGUUAUUUCAACCACAAUUUACCUCAUGAGGCUGAAUGGAUAAAUCAGUACAAAGGAAGAGUGUUCAGUUUAAACGACAAGCCUGUGGUGCAUAAAAUUUGGCUGCCGAAUGAGG